rnacentral:rRNA from 1 species
GUGUCAGCAGCCGCGGUAAUACGUAGGGGGCAAGCGUUGUCCGGAUUUAUUGGGCGUAAAGCGCGUGUAGGCGGCCAGAUAGGUCGGUUGUGAAAAUUGGAGGCUCAACCUCCAGACGUCGAUCGAAACCAUCUGGCUAGAGUCCGGAAGAGGAGAAUGGAAUUCCUGGUGUAGCGGUGAAAUGCGCAGAUAUCAGGAAGAACACCGAUGGCGAAGGCAGUUCUCUGGGACGGUACUGACGCUGAGACGCGAAAGCGUGGGGAGCGAACAGGAUUAGAAACCCCAGUAGUCC